rnacentral:lncRNA from 1 species
GCACGCUUCCUCUAGCACAACCACAGCUAUGCACCAAUCCUCCUGGGUUCAGAGAUGGAACUUGGGUUAAAUGCAUGGAAUUUAUUCUUAGUCCUUUUCUUAAUUACGACUUUUUAUUUCUCUGGUGUUCUCUAGGGGAGGGGUUAGAGAAGAGAGGAAAAGGAAGAAAGAAAGGGGGCAGGGAAAUAUAGAUUCAAUGCUUUUGUUUUGUUUCUGGGCUGCUUGCUAUCAGCAAAGUAGAGAGAUUUAACGGAUCUUGCCGAGAAUGCAAGCCUCAUUCCAAGGAAGCCAGAGCUCAGAAGACAUGGAACAAAUACAAUGAAAACAUAACUUGAGGUCGGAAAAUGUCCCCUGAAUAUUUAUGUCAAUGUCCUACCUUAGUGAAUAUUACUUAAUACUGUGGCUCCUUUAAAGCAUGUAAGUAGCUUGCAUUGUGAUUUCAUUAUGAAGUCAGAUGGAAUGAGGAGUGUGUAAAUCCAGAAUCAGAAUCCCAGCGACGAAGCUUUUCUUGCUCUGUUACCUUGGAAAAUGCUUUGAACCAGACCAGAUAAGAAAAGUAAAAGUCUGGAGUGUAAUCCUUCCAAUUGUCUUUUGGCUUCUCUUCUACUUCUACAAAAAGUUCAACAAAAAUUAGAAUUUGAAACAACGGAAAGAGAGAAAUUUUAGGUUAGUAGCUAAAUCCCCAAGGAUACUAAUUAGAGAAAGAUGUUGGAAUUGCCUUAAUGAGUCACUGCCAACGCAAGUCCUAAGGAAGCAAAGACUGUGAGUAAGCAAAGGUAGCCAGCUGCUGGGAAGAGGACAAUAGAGGAAAAGGUCAGAGGGACUUUAAAAGACUGACUGUGGGCUCCCUGAGGGAAGGAGGGAUGGAGAGAGUAUCGGGUCCUAUAGAAUACCUUAAUUGUUUUUAUGACUUCUCUUUUCCAUAUCCAGUUCACAUGUACUCCUUUCUGUGCAUUAAAUUGAGUUUCUAUUGGCUUCUUUGUAACAAAAAGAACUGAACAGAAACACAUAUCUAUUGGACAAAGAGCAAUAAAAUGAUAUAAUAACUGUAUCUGAGGGUUUUUUCAUUUUAAAGAAUAAAACAAAACAAAAAUCAAACAAAAAAAACCAUCUAUCUGAUGUUGCUCCACUCCCAACAGCAUCACUAACCGGUAUGUACCCAGCUUCAGCUAAAUAUCCCUAAAACACCUCUUACUUUCCAAGGCAAAGUCUCCCACUGUUGAGUCGUGUUGACUGAUAAAAAGUUCCCUCUGGGGUAAAAAAAUGAAAUUAGUUUUACCUAUCCUGGGGUCACCUCCAAAUACAUAUGCCUGUAAUGUAUUUCAAUUAGAAUACAUUACACACUCCCUGUCACCUUCACUAGGAGAAAAUCAGCAAAGUCAACCAGCAUUUUUAGUUGUCACAACUAAAAGGUACUCCUAGCAUCUGGUAGGCGGAGGCCAGGGAUGCUGCUAAACAUCCUACAAUGGACAGGACAGCCUCUCACAACAAAGAAUUUCCAGCCCAAAAUGUCAACUUUGCCAAAGUAGAAAAGCCCUGUACUAAAGGAGACCUUCCAUAUAAUAGACGGAACCCCCUCUUAGAAGAGAGGCCUUAGAAAUGCUAUGGUUUUGGAGCUUUUCUAUUGAGCCCCUCAUAUUUUCCAUCAACAGCAAGGCCCAGGUAUUAAUUAUAUGGUCUUAUUCUGUGACCUGGUUUGUCAUUCCUGAAAUAGCUAAAAGUAAAACAGAUGUCAUUUCAAUAUCAAGAAGCAGUGGAACAGAAAGUGCCAAGGAGCAGGUGUAUCAGAUACUCAGAGGUGGUAAAGUCAUGGCUGUCCAUGCUUUGGAGCUAGGGCAUCUACAAUGCAAAGGAAGAUUUUAAAUGUGAAUUUUGUGUUCUGGUCUAUGAGUAGAUGAUUCACGACACUAGUUUGAAAAUGCCUGAGUAAUAACUUGACUUUGUUUCUGCACUGGACAUCUGUUGUUUUUGUUCACUGGCAUCACUUCCCUUUUCUUUUUUUCUUUCUUUUUUUUUUUCUUUUUUUUUUUUUUUUUUUUUUUUGAGACACAGUCUUGCUCUGUCCCCCAGGCUGGAGUGCAAUGGCAUGAUCUCGGCUCACUGCAACCUCCACCUCCCAGGUUCUAGCGAUUCUCCUGCCUCAGCCUCCUGAGUAGCUGGGAAUGCAUGCGCAUGCCACCACGUCUGGCCAAUUUUAUUUUAACUAGAGACAGGGUUUCAUCAUGUUGGCCAAGCUGGUCUCGAACUCCCGACCUCAGGUGAUUCCUCUGCCUCAGCCUCCCAAAGUGCUGGGAUUACAGGCAUGAGCCACCAUUCCCGGCUCCCUUCCCUUUUCUUAUGGGAACAGCAUUGAAUUUUCCUUUGAGAAAAUACCUCUCCCUAUAGGGGUAGUUCCUACAAAGUUUCGAUGGAAUUAUGUCAGAGGCUCUUAUACUUUCACACCAUGGCUUGGCAAGUAUCUCAAUCUAGGCCAAUCAGUCUUUGUUUCCUUAGGAUAUACAUCUUGAGUGAAGUAAUGCGUGAAUGGGAAACAUUUAAAGCUGAUUCAUGUGAAUUGGGAUAGUUCCUGAACAGAAUGCCUACGGUUCUUUCUAU